rnacentral:lncRNA from 10 species
UUUUUUGAGACGGUGUCUCACUCUGUCACUCAGGCUGGAGUGCAGUGGUAUGAUCUCAGCUCAGCCUUGACCUCCCAGGCUCAGGUGAUCCUCAGCCUCCCUGGCAGCUGGGACUACAGGUGCACACCACCACUUCUGGCUAAUUUUUGUAUUUUUUGUAGAGAUAGCUUUUUGCCAUGUUGCCCAGGCUGGUCUUGAGCUCCCGGGCUCAAGUAAUCUGCCUGCCUUGGCUUUCCAAAGUGCUGGGAUUACAGGAGUGAGCCACUGCACCCGGCCCCAAGUUACUUCUUGAUCCAUGGGCUGCAGAAUGAAUGUUGUAAGCAGGCAUGAAAACAUUCAUCUCCUUGUACAUCUUCAUCAGAAGUCUUGGGAGACCAGGUGCAUUGUCAAGAGCAGUAAUAUUUUUAAAAUAAUAUUUUUUUCUUAGCAGUAGGUCUCAACAGUGGGCUUAAAAUAUUUAGUAAACUAGGUUGUAAUCGUAUGUGCUGUCAUCCAGGUUUUGUUGUUCCAUUUACAGGGCACAGAUAGAGUAGAUUUGGCAUAAUUCUUAAUUGCCCUAGAAUUUUCAGGCUGGUAGAUAAGCAUUGGCUUCAACUUAAAGUCACCAGCUGCAUUAGCCCCUAACAAGACAGUCAGCCUGUUUUUUGAAGAUUUGAAGUCAGGCAUUGACUUCUCUCUAUCUAUUAAAGUCCUAGGUGACAUCUUUCCCAAUGUAAGACUGUUCUGCCUACCCUGAUAAUCUGUUGUUGGCCAGCCGUGGUGGUUCACGCCUGUAAUCUCAGAACUUUGGGAGGCCAAGGCCGACAGAUUGCUCGAGUCCAGUUGUUUAAGACCAGCCUGGGCAACAUGGCGAAACCCUGUCUCUACAAAAAAAUGCAAAAAUUAGCCAAGCAUAAUGGCACGGGCCUAUAAUCCCGGUUACUUAUGAGGCUGAGAUGGGAGGAUCACCUGAGCCCAGGAAGUUGAGGCUGCCGUAAGCCAUAAUUGCACCACUGUACUCCAGCCUGGGCGAGAGAGGGAGACUCUGUCUCAAAAAAAAAAAAAAAAAAAGAAAGAAAGAAAAGAAAAGAAAAGAAAAAGAAAAAAGAAAGAAAGAAGAGAAAAGAAAAUUUGGGCUGGGCACCGUGGGUCAUGCCGCUAAUCCCAGCACUUUGGGAGACUGAGGUGGGCGGAUCACUUGAGGCCCGGAGUUCAAGACCUGCCUGGGCAACAUGGCGAAACCCUGUCUCUAUGAAAAAUACAAAAAUUAGCUGGGUGUGGUGGCUCAAGCCUGUAAUUCCAGCUACUCAGGAGGCUAAGGUGAAAGGAUCACUUGAACCUGGGAGGUGGAGGUUGGAGUGAACUGAGAUUGCGCCACUGCACUCCAGCCUGGGCAACAAGAGUGAAACUCCGUCUCAAAAAAAAAGAAAAGAAAAGAAAAUCUGUUGUUUAGUGUAGUCUUAGAUCUUUGCUAGAUCUUCUAGAUAACUUGCUCAGCUUCUACGUCAGUGGUUACGGCUCCACCUUGUGCUUUUACAUGAUGGAGGUGGCAUCUUUAAACCUCACAAACCUCAUGAACUAACCUCUGUUAACUUUUCUUCUGGAGCUUUCUCAUCUCUCUCACCCUUCAUAGAAUGGAAGAGAGUUAGAACCUUGCUCUGGAUUAGGCUUUAGCUGAUUUAAUCUUCCAUCCAGAUCACUAGAGUUUUCUCCAUAUCAGCAAUAAGACUGUUCUACUUUCUUACCAUUCAUGUGUUCACUGGAGUAGCACUUUUA